GCAGCCUCCUCCUCCACCAUCUCCUCCUCUGGGGAAUCCUGGGGAAAACCCUUGCAUCACCCGCCCCUGGGCCUGUGUCUCAUUCGUGACAUUGAAACAGAAUGACGGUCAAGGUGCCUCAACGGCAAGAGGUAGAAAUAGCAUCUAGAUGUGGCUGAAGGAAAGCUAGAAGAAACAGCGAGGGUGGGCACAGCUCUGGAGACAGGGCGGGAAGGCAGUCUGGGAUAGUCCUGAUGUUCAUUGUUCUUUGUGGCCAAGGAGGUGACAUACCUGUGACAUCUGUGGGCCCUAGGUACCACCCACUGUCUUCACCACCAUCAGGUACCUGGGCACCUAACUCCUCAAAGUGACUUUUUCAUGCAGAAAGCAUUUAUUGAACAACUGCUGUGUUCAGCCCUAUGCUGGUCUUAGGGUUUGCACAUAUGUGUGCGUGUGCGUGUGUGUGCGUGUGUGUGUGUGUGUGUGUGUGUAUAGUGUGGGGGGUCACCACAGUUGGUACUUUGCCAGUGAACAGGACAGAACAGUCAGAAAGUGCCAGACUUCAGCUAGGAAUGUGGCUGCCUGGGAUCCUGGGUUGGAUCCUCAGCACUGGCAUGUGCUUGUACUCCCAGCACUUGGGAGAUGGAACCAGACAGGUCAAGAUCACUCCUAGUCAUAGCCAGUUUGAGGCUAGCUUGUGAUACCUGAGAUCCUAUCUCAAAUAAAUAAGA